rnacentral:rRNA from 1 species
AGUGAACGCUGGCGGUAGGCCUAACACAUGCAAGUCGAACGGCAGCACAGUAAGAGCUUGCUCUUACGGGUGGCGAGUGGCGGACGGGUGAGGAAUACAUCGGAAUCUACUUUUUCGUGGGGGAUAACGUAGGGAAACUUACGCUAAUACCGCAUACGACCUACGGGUGAAAGCAGGGGAUCUUCGGACCUUGCGCGAUUGAAUGAGCCGAUGUCGGAUUAGCUAGUUGGCGGGGUAAAGGCCCACCAAGGCGACGAUCCGUAGCUGGCCUGAGAGGAUGAUCGGCCACACUGGAACUGAGACACGGUCCAGACUCCUACGGGAGGCAGCAGUGGGGAAUAUUGGACAAUGGGCGCGAGCCUGAUCCAGCCAUACCGCGUGGGUGGAGAAGGCCUUCGGGUUGUAAAGCCCUUUUGUUGGGAAUGAAAAGCAGCAGGUUAAUACGCAGCUGUUCUGACGGUACCCAAAGAAUAAGCACCGGCUAACUUCGUG